rnacentral:rRNA from 2 species
UAUCCUGUCUGAAUAUGGGGGGACCAUCCUCCAAGGCUAAAUACUCCUGACUGACCGAUAGUGAACCAGUACCGUGAGGGAAAGGCGAAAAGAACCCCGGCGAGGGGAGUGAAAAAGAACCUGAAACCGUGUACGUACAAGCAGUGGGAGCACCCUUUGGGUGUGACUGCGUACCUUUUGUAUAAUGGGUCAGCGACUUAUAUUCUGUAGCAAGGUUAACCGAAUAGGGGAGCCGGAGGGAAACCGAGUCUUAAUUGGGCGUUAAGUUGCAGGGUAUAGACCCGAAACCCGGUGAUCUAGCCAUGGGCAGGUUGAAGGUUGGGUAACACUAACUGGAGGACCGAACCGACUAAUGUUGAAAAAUUAGCGGAUGACCUGUGGCUGGGGGUGAAAGGCCAAUCAAACCGGGAGAUAGCUGGUUCUCCCCGAAAGCUAUUUAGGUAGCGCCUCGUGAAUUCAUCUCCGGGGGUAGAGCACUGUUUCGGCUAGGGGGCCAUCCCGGCUUACCAACCCGAUGCAAACUGCGAAUACCGGAGAAUGUUAUCACGGGAGACACACGGCGGGUGCUAACGUCCGUCGUGAAGAGGGAAACAACCCAGACCGCCAGCUAAGGUCCCAAAGUCAUGGUUAAGUGGGAAACGAUGUGGGAAGGCCCAGACAGCCAGGAUGUUGGCUUAGAAGCAGCCAUCAUUUAAAGAAAGCGUAAUAGCUCACUGGUCGAGUCGGCCUGCGCGGAAGAUGUAACGGGGCUAAACCAUGCACCGAAGCUGCGGCAGCGACACUGUGUGUUGUUGGGUAGGGGAGCGUUCUGUAAGCCUGUGAAGGUGUGUCGUGAGGCAUGCUGGAGGUAUCAGAAGUGCGAAUGCUGACAUAAGUAACGAUAAAGCGGGUGAAAAGCCCGCUCGCCGGAAGACCAAGGGUUCCUGUCCAACGUUAAUCGGGGCAGGGUGAGUCGACCCCUAAGGCGAGGCCGAAAGGCGUAGUCGAUGGGAAACGGGUUAAUAUUCCCGUACUUGGUGUUACUGCGAAGGGGGGACGGAGAAGGCUAUGUUGGCCGGG